AUUGAACGCUGGCGGCAGGCCUAACACAUGCAAGUCGAACGGUAACAGGAAGAAGCUUGCUUCUUUGCUGACGAGUGGCGGACGGGUGAGUAAUGUCUGGGAAACUGCCUGAUGGAGGGGGAUAACUACUGGAAACGGUAGCUAAUACCGCAUAACGUCGCAAGACCAAAGAGGGGGAGCUUCGGGCCUCUUGCCAUCGGAUGUGCCCAGAUGGGAUUAGCUAGUAGGUGGGGUAACGGCUCACCUAGGCGACGAGCCCUAGCUGGUCUGAGAGGAUGACCAGCCACACUGGAACUGAGACACGGUCCAGACUCCUACGGGAGGCAGCAGUGGGGAAUAUUGCACAAUGGGCGCAAGCCUGAUGCAGCCAUGCCGCGUGUAUGAAGAAGGCCUUCGGGUUGUAAAGUACUUUCAGCGGGGAGGAAGGGAGUAAAGUUAAUACCUUUGCUCAUUGACGUUACCCGCAGAAGAAGCACCGGCUAACUCCGUG
rnacentral:rRNA from 1 species